CGGCGGACGGGUGAGUAACACGUGGAUAACUUACCUAUAAGACUGGGAUAACUUCGGGAAACCGGAGCUAAUACCGGAUAAUAUAUUGAACCGCAUGGUUCAAUAGUGAAAGACGGUUUUGCUGUCACUUAUAGAUGGAUCCGCGCCGCAUUAGCUAGUUGGUAAGGUAACGGCUUACCAAGGCAACGAUGCGUAGCCGACCUGAGAGGGUGAUCGGCCACACUGGAACUGAGACACGGUCCAAACUCCUACGGGAGGCAGCAGAC
rnacentral:rRNA from 1 species